ACGGUGAAGCCAAGCUUGCUUGGUGGAUCAGUGGCGAACGGGUGAGUAACACGUGAGCAACCUGCCCUGAACUCUGGGAUAAGCGCUGGAAACGGCGUCUAAUACUGGAUAUGAGCUGCGGAGGCAUCUUCGUGGUUGGAAAGAUUUUUCGGUUUGGGAUGGGCUCGCGGCCUAUCAGCUUGUUGGUGAGGUAAUGGCUCACCAAGGCGUCGACGGGUAGCCGGCCUGAGAGGGUGACCGGCCACACUGGGACUGAGACACGGCCCAGACUCCUACGGGAGGCAGCAGUGGGGAAUAUUGCACAAUGGGCGGAAGCCUGAUGCAGCAACGCCGCGUGAGGGAUGACGGCCUUCGGGUUGUAAACCUCUUUUAGCAGGGAAGAAGCGAAAGUGACGGUACCUGCAGAAAAAGCGCCGGCUAACUACGUGCCAGCAGCCGCGGUAAUACGUAGGGCGCAAGCGUUAUCCGGAAUUAUUGGGCGUAAAGAGCUCGUAGGCGGUUUGUCGCGUCUGCUGUGAAAUCUGGGGGCUCAACCCUCAGCCUGCAGUGGGUACGGGCAGACUAGAGUGCGGUAGGGGAGAUUGGAAUUCCUGGUGUAGCGGUGGAAUGCGCAGAUAUCAGGAGGAACACCGAUGGCGAAGGCAGAUCUCUGGGCCGUAACUGACGCUGAGGAGCGAAAGGGUGGGGAGCAAACAGGCUUAGAUACCCUGGUAGUCCACCCCGUAAACGUUGGGAACUAGUUGUGGGGUCCAUUCCACGGAUUCCGUGACGCAGCUAACGCAUUAAGUUCCCCGCCUGGGGAGUACGGCCGCAAGGCUAAAACUCAAAGGAAUUGACGGGGACCCGCACAAGCGGCGGAGCAUGCGGAUUAAUUCGAUGCAACGCGAAGAACCUUACCAAGGCUUGACAUACACGAGAACGCUGCAGAAAUGUAGAACUCUUUGGACACUCGUGAACAGGUGGUGCAUGGUUGUCGUCAGCUCGUGUCGUGAGAUGUUGGGUUAAGUCCCGCAACGAGCGCAACCCUCGUUCUAUGUUGCCAGCACGUAAUGGUGGGAACUCAUGGGAUACUGCCGGGGUCAACUCGGAGGAAGGUGGGGAUGACGUCAAAUCAUCAUGCCCCUUAUGUCUUGGGCUUCACGCAUGCUACAAUGGCCGGUACAAAGGGCUGCAAUACCGCGAGGUGGAGCGAAUCCCAAAAAGCCGGUCCCAGUUCGGAUUGAGGUCUGCAACUCGACCUCAUGAAGUCGGAGUCGCUAGUAAUCGCAGAUCAGCAACGCUGCGGUGAAUACGUUCCCGGGUCUUGUACACACCGCCCGUCAAGUCAUGAAAGUCGGUAACACCUGAAGCCGGUGGCCCAACCCUUGGGA
rnacentral:rRNA from 1 species